UGUCUCGGAACUGAUGGACGUCAGCACAGCUGCAGGCCUCAGGACAGAGGGGAAUGUGAGCUUGAAGACAACCAGUUCCUCGAUAUCCUGUGGAAGAUACCCAGUGGAAGGGUCUGGCAUCAUUUUCACAAGCUGAGACCAGACACGGUUGCCAACAGAAUUUCCUGUGGGAAGUUGGAGGAGGAGGGAAAGCCAAGCCUCACACCACUCAAAAAAGUCAAUUCCAUGAUCGAUAUAGAAGUAAAUGAGAAUGAUGAACGAUGAACCUUCUAGAAGGCGACAGAAGAUCUCUUUGGCCUUGAGGUGUCCCACAAGCAGACCAAGACACACAGCUGAAACAGAUGUGCAGAGGGCCCAGGUCAGUCCCAUGCAAGCUCUCUGGUCGGCAGUUCAGUCUCCAUGAACGUCCAUGAGCCCAGGCCUCCUGACUGUCCAGUCUCUGGGUCCUAGUCGUUGUCAGAGGUGGAUUUCCUCUCAUAGUGUGGGUCUCAAUCUGGACCAGUAAUUGGUUGGCUACUUCCAUAAUGUCUACACCACCAUUGUGCCAGCAUUUUCAGGCAAGGCAAAUUAGCCACUUUGGAAAUCAAUAUGGCAGUUGCUCAGAAAAUUGGGAAUCAGCCUACCUCAAGACACAAUGAUACUACUCAGGUCACGCAGAGGCAACGUCUAAUUUGCCAUCUUACCUGGCAUCUUUAAAGAAAUAAUAUUCAUCCUUACGCAAGAAAAAAUAUACGGUAGCAUGAACUGCAAAUUAAGUUGGUCGAACCGUAACUUUGUGCCUUGAAGUAGUUGGUCCGGAGCUCACAGAUCUGGCUUGGGGAGGUCAUCGGUAAGCACUUCCCCAUAACAGCUUUUCUAAGAUGACCUGUGAACCCCCUUUGAAGAUACCAUCACAUCUCAGAUACUGCACAGCUAUUCACCAGAGCAUUUCACAGAAUCUAUACAUGGCAAGAAAAAUCAAUGACCGGACAUCAGUAAACAGAAGUGUUUGACUUCAUUCCAAGAAGAGACGUUUUGGACAGGGUGUUGCUUUCACCCAGGUCUCCCUGCAUCUAGAGAGAAUCUCAGAUGCUGCGUUGCUCCACCCGGAAGAUAUUGAGUUAACCAGUGUGCUUGGGUUGCCAAAGACAUAAACAGAAGUCGGAAAAAGUGGGUAAGCUCAUUUGAUAGUUGGAGUGACUUUCAAACAUGGCUUAAUAAAG